rnacentral:rRNA from 1 species
AUUGAACGCUGGCGGCAGGCCUAACACAUGCAAGUCGAGCGAGCGGCGGGCGGGUGUGUAAUGUAUGGGGACUGCCCUAUAGAGGGGUAUAUCUACUGAAAACGGUGGAUAAUACCGCAUAAUAUAGUGUAACCCAUAUGGGAUUAGCUAGUAGGUGGGGUAGAGGCUCACCUAGGCGACUAUCUCUAGCGGGUCUGAGAGGAUGAUCAGCCACACUGGGACUGAGACACGGCCCAGACUCCGACGGAGGCAGCAGUGGGGAAUAUUGCACAAUGGGCGCAAGCCUGAUGCAGCCAUGCCGCGUGUAUGAAGAAGGCCUUAGGGUUGUAAAGUACUUUCAGCGGGGAGGCGUUACCCGCAGAAGAAGCACCGGCUAACUCCGUGCCAGCAGCCGCGGUAAUUC